GAUGAACGCUGGCGGCGUGCUUAACACAUGCGAGUCGAACGAGAAAUGGAGACGGAACCCUUCGGGCGGAAGGCUUCAUUUCGAGUGGCGGACGGGUGAGUAACGCGUGGGUAACCUGCCUCAUACAGGGGGAUAACAGUUGGAAACGACUGUUAAUACCGCAUAAGACCACAGCACCGCAUGGUGCGGGGGUAAAAACUCCGGUGGUAUGAGAUGGACCCGCGUUCGAUUAGCCAGUUGGCGGGGUAACGGCCCACCAAAGCGACGAUCGAUAGCCGAUCUGAGAGGAUGACCGGCCACAUUGGGACUGAGACACGGCCCAAACUCCUACGGGAGGCAGCAGUGGGGAAUAUUGCACAAUGGGGGAAACCCUGAUGCAGCGACGCCGCGUGAGUGAAGAAGUACUUCGGUAUGUAAAGCUCUAUCAGCAGGGAAGAAAAUGACGGUACCUGAGUAAGAAGCCCCGGCUAACUACGUG
rnacentral:rRNA from 1 species